rnacentral:rRNA from 1 species
AACGAACGCUGGCGGCAGGCCUAACACAUGCAAGUCGAACGCCCCGCAAGGGGAGUGGCAGACGGGUGAGUAACACGUGGGAACGUGCCCUAAGGUUUGGAAUAUUCCCGGGAAACUGGGAGCAAUACCAAAUGUGUCCGCAAGGAGAAAGAUUUAUCGCCUUAGGAUCGGCCCGCGUCGGAUUAGCUAGUUGGUGGGGUAAAAGCCUACCAAGGCGACGAUCCGUAGCUGGUUUGAGAGAACGACCAGCCACACUGGGACUGAGACACGGCCCAGACUCCUACGGGAGGCAGCAGUGGGAAUCUUGGACAAUGGGCGCAAGCCUGAUCCAGCCAUGCCGCGUGAGUGAUGAAGGCCCUAGGGUUGUAAAACUCUUUCGCCGAGACGAUAAUGACGGUACUCGGAGAAGAAGCUCCGGCUAACUUCGUGCCAGCCGCCGCGGUAC